rnacentral:rRNA from 1 species
CCUACGGGGGGCAGCAGUGGGGAAUAUUGGACAAUGGGGGGAACCCUGAUCCAGCCAUGCCGCGUGUGUGAAGAAGGCCCUCGGGUUGUAAAGCACUUUCAGUGAGGAAGAACGCCUGGUGGUUAAUACCCAUCAGGAAAGACAUCACUCACAGAAGAAGCACCGGCUAACUCCGUGCCAGCAGCCGCGGUAAUACGGAGGGUGCGAGCGUUAAUCGGAAUUACUGGGCGUAAAGCGCGCGUAGGUGGCUUGAUAAGCCGGUUGUGAAAGCCCCGGGCUCAACCUGGGAACGGCAUCCGGAACUGUCAAGCUAGAGUGCAGGAGAGGAAGGUAGAAUUCCCGGUGUAGCGGUGAAAUGCGUAGAGAUCGGGAGGAAUACCAGUGGCGAAGGCGGCCUUCUGGACUGACACUGACACCGAGGUGCGAAAGCGUGGGUAGCAAACAGGAUUAGAUACCCCGGUAGUA